rnacentral:rRNA from 1 species
GACGAACGCUGGCGGCGUGCUUAACACAUGCAAGUCGAACGGAAAGGCCCUGCUUUUGUGGGGUGCUCGAGUGGCGAACGGGUGAGUAGCACGUGAGUAACCUGCCCUUGACUUUGGGAUAACUUCAGGAAACUGGGGCUAAUACCGGAUAGGAGCUCCUGCUGCAUGGGGGGGGUUGGAAAGUUUCGGCGGUUGGGGAUGGACUCGCGGCUUAUCAGCUUGUUGGGGGGGUAGUGGCUUACCAAGGCUUUGACGGGUAGCCGGCCUGAGAGGGUGACCGGCCACAUUGGGACUGAGAUACGGCCCAGACUCCUACGGUAGGCAGCAGUGGGGAAUAUUGCACAAUGGGCGGAAGCCUGAUGCAGCAACGCCGCGUGCGGGAUGACGGCCUUCGGGUUGUAAACCGCUUUCGCCUGUGACGAAGCGUGAGUGACGGUAAUGGGUAAAGAAGCACCGGCUAACUACGUG